ACCCAGCUGACGAGUCCCAAAUAGGACGAAACGCGCGUCGUGGAU
rfam:Schistosoma mansoni strain Puerto Rico chromosome 4, complete genome